rnacentral:rRNA from 1 species
GACGAACGCUGGCGGCGUGCUUAACACAUGCAAGUCGAACGGAAAGGCCCUGCUGUUGUGGGGUGCUCGAGUGGCGAACGGAUGAGUAACACGUGAGUAACCUGCCCUUGACUUUGGGAUAACUUCAGGAAACUGGGGCUAAUACCGGAUAGGAGCUCCUGCUGCAUGGUGGGGGUUGGAAAGUUUCGGCGGUUGGGGAUGGACUCGCGGCUUAUCAGCUUGUUGGUGGGGUAGUGGCUUACCAAGGCUUUGACGGGUAGCCGGCCUGAGAGGGUGACCGGCCACAUUGGGACUGAGAUACGGCCCAGACUCCUACGGGAGGCAGCAGUGGGGAAUAUUGCACAAUGGGCGGAAGCCUGAUGCAGAAACGCCGCGUGCGGGAUGACGGCCUUCGGGUUGUAAACCGCUUUCGCCUGUGACGAAGCGUGAGUGACGGUAAUGGGUAAAGAAGCACCGGCUAACUACGUG